rnacentral:RNase_P_RNA from 1 species
UGAGUCGGCCGGGCGGCCGCGUCGGAGGAGCGAUCCUCCGCCGAGGAAAGUCCGGACUCCGCAGGGCAGGGUGGUUGUUAACGGCAACCCGGGGUGACCCGCGGGACAGUGCCACAGAGAGCAGACCGCCCGGGUCGUGCGAACGACUCGGGUAAGGGUGAAAGGGUGGUGUAAGAGACCACCAGCAUCCCGGGUGACCGGGAUGGCUAGGUAAACCCCACCCGGAGCAAGGCCAAGAGGACGCCGCGAGGCGUCUGCGCAGGCGUUCGAGGGCUGCCCGCCCGAGCCUGCGGGUAGGCCGCUGGAGUGUGCCGGCGACGGCAGACCGAGAUGGAUGGCCGCCACCCGUCGACCGCGAGGUCCGGCGGGCACAGGAUCCGGCUUAUGUGUCGACUCAUCCG